GAUGAACGCUGGCGGCGUGCUUAACACAUGCAAGUCGAACGAAGCAAUUAUGAUUGAGAUUUCGGUUGAUUGAUUAAUUGACUUAGUGGCGGACGGGUGAGUAACGCGUGGGUAACCUGCCUCGUACAGGGGGAUAACAGUUAGAAAUGACUGCUAAUACCGCAUAACCCGCUAAGGUCGCAUGACCUGGACGGAAAAGAUUUAUCGGUACGAGAUGGACCCGCGUCUGAUUAGCUAGUUGGUGAGGUAACGGCUCACCAAGGCGACGAUCAGUAGCCGGCCUGAGAGGGUGAACGGCCACAUUGGGACUGAGACACGGCCCAAACUCCUACGGGAGGCAGCAGUGGGGAAUAUUGCACAAUGGGGGAAACCCUGAUGCAGCGACGCCGCGUGAGUGAAGAAGUAUUUCGGUAUGUAAAGCUCUAUCAGCAGGGAAGAAAAUGACGGUACCUGACUAAGAAGCCCCGGCUAACUACGUGCCAGCAGCCGCAGUAAGAC
rnacentral:rRNA from 1 species